GGAGAGAUGGCCGAGUGGUUUAUGGCUCUGGUCUUGAAAACCAGUAUGGUGCUGAAACGCCAUCGAGGGUUCGAAUCCCUCUCUCUCCU
rnacentral:tRNA from 1 species